AGAAUGAACGCUGGCGGCGUGCUUAACACAUGCAAGUCGAACGGAAUCCAAGGAGCUUGCUCCGAAAGAUUUAGUGGCGAACGGGUGAGUAUCACGUGAGCAACCUGCCCCGAAGACUGGGAUAACACCGGGAAACCGGUGCUAAUACCGGAUGUCUUUCAAUGAUCGCAUGAUCGAUGAAAGAAAUGUUUUUUCGCUUUGGGAGGGGCUCGCGGUCCAUCAGCUUGUUGGCGGGGUAACGGCCCACCAAGGCUACGACGGAUAGCUGGUCUGAGAGGACGAUCAGCCACACUGGAACUGAGACACGGUCCAGACUCCUACGGGAGGCAGCAGUGGGGAAUAUUGGACAAUGGGCGCAAGCCUGAUCCAGCCAUGCCGCGUGGAUGAUGAAGGCCCUAGGGUUGUGAAGUCCUUUCGACGGGGAAGAUAAUGACGGUACCCGUAGAAGAAGCCCCGGCUAACUUCGUGCCAGCAGCCGC
rnacentral:rRNA from 1 species